UACGUAGGGGGCAAGCGUUGUCCGGAUUUAUUGGGCGUAAAGCGCGCGUAGGCGGCCCGGUAAGUCCGCUGUGAAAGUCAAAGGCUCAACCUUUGAAUGUCAGCGGAUACUGCCAGGCUAGAGUCCGGAAGAGGCGAGUGGAACUCCUGGUGUAGCGGUGGAAUGCGCAGAUAUCAGGAAGAACACCGACGGCGAAGGCAGCUCGCUGGGACGGUACUGACGCUGAGGCGCGAAAGCGUGGGGAGCGAACAGG
rnacentral:rRNA from 1 species